UACGUAGAUGGCAAGCGUUGUCCGGAAUUAUUGGGCGUAAAGCGCGCGCAGGUGGUUUCUUAAGUCUGAUGUGAAAGCCCACGGCUCAACCGUGGAGGGUCAUUGGAAACUGGGGAACUUGAGUGCAGGAGAGAAGAGUGGAAUUCCACGUGUAGCGGUGAAAUGCGUAGAGAUGUGGAGGAACACCAGUGGCGAAGGCGACUCUUUGGCCUGUAACUGACACUGAGGCGCGAAAGCGUGGGGAGCAAACAGG
rnacentral:rRNA from 1 species